CCCCUAGAUGUUCUGGGCCGCACGCGCGCUACACUGAACAGUUCAACAAGUCUUAACCUUGGCCGAUAGGUCUGGGUAAUCUUUGAACGCUGUUCGUGAUUGGGAUAGACCUUUGCAAUUAUGGGUCUUCAACGAGGAAUUCCUAGGAAACGCAAGUCAUCAGCUUGCAUUGAUUACGUCCCUGCCCUUUGUACACACCGCCCGUCGCACCUACCGAUUGAAUGGUCCGGUGAAAUCUCGGGACGGCGGCUUGGUCGCUUGCGUCCGACUGCUGAAACUUGAUUAAACCAUNUNAUUUAGNGGAAGGUGAANUCGUANCA
rnacentral:rRNA from 1 species